AAGGAAAUAGAGAGAGGGGGAGAUUGCCGACCGGAGAGAGGUGUGAGUGGCGGCCGGUUGCAGUGGGGAGGGAGGAAGAGACAGAUGCUGACAAAGGGAAUCAUUUCACGUGGCCCUCCUCUAAAGUCUCACCCGCUCUGUAAUAAAUUCCAAGAAGAUUAGGGUUUCGUGGAAAUAUCUCAAGCGAAUCAGGCUCAGUGUGGCCGAUGCAGCAAACUCUCAAAUCUCAGUUAUAUCCGGAGGUAUGGAAUCUCAUAACUCCUAUUUUUUGAGCUUUAGUUCUGGAUUAUGUCAUGUGAUGCUUAAGAUGGCUGUGAGAUUUGAACGGCUUGUAACUCAAGGAGAUGAUGCAGAGUUGGGUAAGGCUGCUUUUCUGUUGGGAGGAAGGCAAGAUAACGAUACCAAACGUGAGUUAUGACUGUUAAUUGGCUUAGGAGGUCUUGGGAAUAUAUGUUUUUUCUGUGCAUCUCUUUUUUCUUAGAUGAUGUAUGGAAUGAAAUUAGGGUUUAUAUUUCAUUCCUUCAUUAUUAGGUUAAAAGAAGGGCACAAGGAAGUAAAAUUAUAUUUUUUAAAAUUUUAAAA